rnacentral:tRNA from 1 species
GGCUCCAUAGCUCAGUGGUUAGUCUUGUAUACCAGGGGUCGCGAGUUCAAUUCUCGCUGGGGCCU